CCUACGGGAGGCAGCAGUCGAGAAUCAUUCACAAUGGGGGAAACCCUGAUGGUGCGACGCCGCGUGGGGGAAUGAAGGUCUUCGGAUUGUAAACCCCUGUCAUGUGGGAGCAAAUUAAAAAGAUAGUACCACAAGAGGAAGAGACGGCUAACUCUGUGCCAGCAGCCGCGGUAAUACAGAGGUCUCAAGCGGUGUUCGGAAUCACUGGGCGUAAAGCGUGCGUAGGCUGUUUCGUAAGUCGUGUGUGAAAGGUGCGGGCUCAACCCGCGGACGGCACAUGAUACUGCGAGACUAGAGUAAUGGAGGGGGAACCGGAAUUCUCGGUGUAGCAGUGAAAUGCGUAGAUAUCGAGAGGAACACUCGUGGCGAAGGCGGGUUCCUGGACAUUAACUGACGCUGAGGCACGAAGGCCAGGGGAGCGAAAGGGAUUAGAUACCCGAGUAGUC
rnacentral:rRNA from 1 species